UACGAGGGGGGCGAGCGUUGUUCGGAUUUACUGGGCGUAAAGGGCGCGCAGGCGGCGCAUUUUGUCAGGCGUGAAAGCCCCGGGCUUAACCUGGGAACUGCGUUUGAUACGGAUGGGCUAGAGUUCGGGAGAGGAGAGUGGAAUUCCCAGUGUAGAGGUGAAAUUCGUAGAUAUCGGGAGGGAACACCGGUGGCGAAGGCGGCGACCUGGGGUAGAUACGUGACGCUGAGGUGCGAAAGCGUGGGGAG
rnacentral:rRNA from 1 species